rnacentral:rRNA from 1 species
CAGCAGUGGGGAAUAUUGCACAAUGGGGGAAACCCUGAUGCAGCGACGCCGCGUGGAGGAAGAAGGUCUUCGGAUUGUAAACUCCUGUUGUUGAGGAAGAUAAUGACGGUACUCAACAAGGAAGUGACGGCUAACUACGUGCCAGCAGCCGCGGUAAAACGUAGGUCACAAGCGUUGUCCGGAAUUACUGGGUGUAAAGGGAGCGCAGGCGGGAAGACAAGUUGGAAGUGAAAUCUAUGGGCUCAACCCAUAAACUGCUUUCAAAACUGUUUUUCUUGAGUAGUGCAGAGGUAGGCGGAAUUCCCGGUGUAGCGGUGGAAUGCGUAGAUAUCGGGAGGAACACCAGUGGCGAAGGCGGCCUACUGGGCACCAACUGACGCUGAGGCUCGAAAGUGUGGGUAGCAAACAGGAUUAGAUACCCUGGUAGUCCACACCGUAAACGAUGAUUACUAGGUGUUGGAGGAUUGACCCCUUCAGUGCCGCAGUUAACACAAUAAGUAAUCCACCUGGGGAGUACGACCGCAAGGUUGAAACUCAAAGGAAUUGACGGGGGCCCGCACAAGCAGUGGAGUAUGUGGUUUAAUUCGACGCAACGCGAAGAACCUUACCAAGUCUUGACAUCCCUUGACGAACAUAGAAAUAUGUUUUCUCUUCGGAGCAAGGAGACAGGUGGUGCAUGGUUGUCGUCAGCUCGUGUCGUGAGAUGUUGGGUUAAGUCCCGCAACGAGCGCAACCCUUACUGUCAGUUACUACGCAAGAGGACUCUGGCAGGACUGCCGUUGACAAAACGGAGGAAGGUGGGGAUGACGUCAAAUCAUCAUGCCCUUUAUGACUUGGGCUACACACGUACUACAAUGGCGUUAAACAAAGAGAAGCAAGACCGCGAGGUGGAGCAAAACUCAGAAACAACGUCCCAGUUCGGACUGCAGGCUGCAACUCGCCUGCACGAAGUCGGAAUUGCUAGUAAUCGUGGAUCAGCAUGCCACGGUGAAUACGUUCCCGGGCCUUGUACACACCGCCCGUCACACCAUGAGAGCCGGGGGGACCCGAAGUCGGUAGUCUAACCGCAAGGAGGACGCCGCCGAAGGUAAAACUGGUGAUUGGGGUGAAGUCGUAACAAGGUAGCCGUAGGAGAACCUGCGGCUG